rnacentral:rRNA from 1 species
UACAGAGGUCUCAAGCGUUGUUCGGAUUCAUUGGGCGUAAAGGGUGCGUAGGCGGCGCGGUAAGUCGGGUGUGAAAUCUCGGAGCUUAACUUCGAAACUGCAUUCGAUACUGCGGUGCUUGAGGACUGGAGAGGAGACUGGAAUUCAUGGUGUAGCGGUGAAAUGCGCAGAUAUCGGGAGGAACACCUAUGGCGAAGGCAGCUCGCUGGGACGUUACUGACGCUGAGACGCGAAAGCGUGGGGAGCAAACAGG